rnacentral:rRNA from 1 species
AUUGAACGCUGGCGGCAGGCCUAACACAUGCAAGUCGAGCGGGGUUUUCGGACCUAGCGGCGGACGGGUGAGUAAUGCGUAGGAAGCUACCCGAUAGAGGGGGAUACCAGUUGGAAACGACUGUUAAUACCGCAUAAUGUCUACGGACCAAAGUGUGGGACCUUCGGGCCACAUGCUAUCGGAUGCGCCUACGUGGGAUUAGCUAGUUGGUGAGGUAAUGGCUCACCAAUGCGACGAUCCCUAGCCGGUUUGAGAGGAUGAUCAGCCACACUGGAACUGAGACACGGUCCAGACUCCUACGGGAGGCAGCAGUGGGGAAUAUUGGACAAUGGGAGCAAGCCUGAUCCAGCCAUGCCGCGUGUGUGAAGAAGGCCUUCGGGUUGUAAAGCACUUUCAGUAAGGAGGAAGAGUUGUGUGUUAAUAGUACACAGCUUUGACGUUACUUACAGAAGAAGCACCGGCUAACUCUGUGCCAGCAGCCGCAGUAAUAC